rnacentral:tRNA from 2 species
GGAGAGAUGGCCGAGUGGUCUAAGGCGCACGCCUGGAGAGCGUGUAAUCGCCAAAAGCGGUUCGAGGGUUCGAAUCCCUCUCUCUCCGCCA